rnacentral:rRNA from 1 species
UGAGGAAUAUUGCACAAUGGGCGCAAGCCUGAUGCAGCCAUGCCGCGUGUAUGAAGAAGGCCUUCGGGUUGUAAAGUACUUUCAGCGGGGAGGAAAGUGUUGAGGUUAAUAACCUCAGCAAAUGACGUUACCCGCAGAAGAAGCACCGGCUAACUCCGUG